rnacentral:rRNA from 3 species
GUUGACCUCGAAUCAGGUAGGACUACCCGCUGAACUUAAGC